rnacentral:rRNA from 1 species
UACGGAGGAUGCGAGCGUUAUCCGGAUUUAUUGGGUUUAAAGGGUGCGUAGGCGGGGAGGUAAGUCAGCGGUAAAAUUUCGGUGCUUAACGCCGGACCGCCGUUGAAACUGCCCCUCUUGAGUGGGCGAGAAGUAUGCGGAAUGCGUGGUGUAGCGGUGAAAUGCAUAGAUAUCACGCAGAACUCCGAUUGCGAAGGCAGCAUACCGGCGCCCGACUGACGCUGAGGCACGAAAGCGUGGGUAUCGAACAGG